UACAGAGGGUGCGAGCGUUGUCCGGAAUCACUGGGCGUAAAGGGCGCGUAGGUGGCGCGACAAGUCAGUGGUGAAAGUUCGACGCUCAACGUCGAAUCGGCCACUGAUACUGUUGGGCUUGAGCACUGUAGAGGCUAAUGGAAUUCCUGGUGUAGCGGUGAAAUGCGCAGAUAUCAGGAGGAACACCGGUGGCGAAGGCGGGUCUCUGGGCCGAUACUGACGCUGAGGAGCGAAAGCGUGGGGAGCAAACAGG
rnacentral:rRNA from 1 species